CUCGUGCUGUCGAAGUGUUGGGUUAAGUACCGCCAACGAGCGCAACCCCUCGCUAUCUGUUGCCAGCGAGUAAUGUGGGGACUCAGAUGGAACUGCCGGUGACAAACCGGAGGAAGGUGGGGACGACGUCAAGUCAUCAUGGCCCUUAUGUCCUGGGCUACACACGUGCUACAAUGGCCGGUACAGAGCGCAGCGAAGCCGCGAGGCAAAGCGAAUCGCAAAAAGCCGGUCUCAGUACGGAUUGGAGUCUGAAACCCGACUCCAUGAAGUUGGAAUCGCUAGUAAUCGCGCAUCAGCAUGGCGCGGUGAAUACGUUCCCGGGCCUU
rnacentral:rRNA from 1 species